UUUUUUUUAUUCUCUUCCAUUCUCUUCUCUAAUUGCCUAAUUUCCCUUUUGAAAAUAUGUGAAGCUGUCUACAGCCAUACCACCCUGAAUGCGCCUGAUCUCUUCUGAAAAUAUGUGAAGCCUUUGAAGACGUUCUACAACUAAUUGUUCUUCACAUUGUUAAUUUUUUAUAUAUUUAUUUUUUCCCUUUGAUGACUAAUGGGCAAUGAUUAUAUAUUUUGUGUAUGUAAAGACUGAAAUUGAGGUCAUUUUCUUCAUUAUUUGUAUACAGAGGUGCAAG
rnacentral:lncRNA from 1 species